UACAUAGGUCUCAAGCGUUGUUCGGAUUCAUUGGGCGUAAAGGGUGCGUAGGUGGCGUCGUAAGUCAGGUGUGAAAUCUCGGGGCUUAACUCCGAAACUGCAUUUGAUACUGCGGUGCUUGAGGACUGGAGAGGAGACUGGAAUUUACGGUGUAGCAGUGAAAUGCGUAGAGAUCGUAAGGAAGACCAGUGGCGAAGGCGGGUCUCUGGACAGUUCCUGACACUGAGGCACGAAGGCCAGGGGAGCAAACGGG
rnacentral:rRNA from 1 species